ACAGCAGUAGCCGCGGUAAUACGUAGGGGGCAAGCGUUAUCCGGAAUUACUGGGUGUAAAGGGAGCGUAGACGGUUAAACAAGUCUGAAGUGAAAUGCCGGGGCUCAACCCCGGAGCUGCUUUGGGAACUAUAGAACUGGAGUGUCGGAGGGGUAAGCGGAAUUCCCAGUGUAGCGGUGAAAUGCGUAGAUAUUGGGAGGAACACCGGCGGCGAAGGCGGCUUACUGGACGACAACUGACGUUGAGGCUCGAAGGCGUGGGUAGCAAACAGGAUUAGAUACCCGGGUAGUCCCUGUCUCUUAUAC
rnacentral:rRNA from 1 species